GUCGGCACGUGAGCGGUGAUGGAUUCGCAUGCCACGGCGGGCUCCCUGCCACUGUGCAGCCAACCGCCGUCGCUGCAGCCCCUUCACUCGUGCUCCAACCACUCGGAGCCUCCCGCGUUGCCUGUACAACAUACCCGGUUCUCGGGCAAAUGACUUCGUCCAACACGCUCGUCCGCUCCCCUCGCCUUUGUGCGGGCGCGGAGCGGCAACGUCGGCGGUCCUCGUGCUCCCUCGGACGACGGCACGGCUUUGGCCCCUCGUCUCGUCCCGAUCGGCCCUCGGGGAUUCGCCAGCGCUCGCGGACACGGUAGAUAAUGUUGGCUCGGGGCCUUCGUAGCCCUCGCACCACGAUCGGUCGGCUCACUUCGCCGCCCUCGAU
rnacentral:misc_RNA from 1 species